rnacentral:rRNA from 1 species
ACGUAGGGUGCGAGCGUUAAUCGGAAUUACUGGGCGUAAAGCGCAUGUAGGUGGCCUUUCAAGUUGGACGUGAAAUCCCCGGGCUUAACCUGGGAAUGGCGCUUGUGACUGGCGGGCUGGAGUACGGCAGAGGGGGGUGGAAUUCCACGUGUAGCAGUGAAAUGCGUAGAGAUGUGGAGGAACACCGAUGGCGAAGGCAGCCCCCUGGGCCGAUACUGACGCUCAUGCACGAAAGCGUGGGGAGCAAACAG